rnacentral:lncRNA from 1 species
AUGGAGGAUUAUUUUAAUAGAUUUAAAAGGAACUAAUUAAAAACCUAAGUAAUUUUCUCUUCAAUUUUUAGAAUUUAUUUUCUCCAAUUGAGACUUAAGCCCCCACUAGUCAUGAGCUGGAUCUGGCCCUACAUCUAGGUUCUAGCAUGCUAUCAAUUUCUUGUUGAAGGUAUAGACAAACAUUAAUCCUUACUUUUGUGACUAUUUUGAUACAUAGAUCUAAGGCUAAGUAAUUCAAAUCUUGGUUGGUUUUGCCACAAUCCAUAGGCACAGAAAAGUUAUAAGCACUUCAUUAGAAUUAUGACGUGUCCAUAUUAUGGUUCAGCCCCUUUUUAUAUGCAUCCAAACCCUGUUUUUCAUUGAUAUAGUCACUAACAGUUGACCGUGCCCGAGAAUUGACCUAAGUUAUCAUUUUCUUUCUCGCCCAAUAUGACUCCUCAUUACAUUCUAAAUGCGUAUAAUCAAGUCAAAUUUAUCUUUGCUGGUUACCAUAAUUAUAUAUUCAAGUUAGGGCUUUCUAAUUAGCAAACUGUUAAUUUGGUCUAGAGUUGGCUAUUACAAGAAAUUGUUUAAUGGUCAAACUGUUUUUGCCCCUUGGCACUUCCCCAACUAUUUUUUUGGUUGUUCUUUUUGUCCUUUAACAGGUCAAAAAGAAGGGAAAUUUUUACCAUUAAUUUUGUUUGCUUUUCGGCUGCAUCAUUAUCAUUAGCUCAGCAUUUAGCUCCAAGAUCUACCUAUAUGAUGAGGAGUGCUAGCAACAGUCGCUUAUGCGAGCGACUGUUGCACUCGCUGCGUGUCUUAGAGUGUGAACAAAUGUGUCAUUUCAUUAAAUUUGAAAAGCAUUCAUAUUUUAUUUUUUUACACCCUCCACUUGAGCUAACAAAAUUACAACGCUACCCUGAUCUUCUUAGCAUUCACAGUUACACUGGCGACUACAACAGCUCAUCAAGACAUCCUUCGCAGUUUUUGUUUUUCAAUUUUUUUUAUUAAUU